rnacentral:rRNA from 1 species
UACGUAGGGUCCGAGCGUUAAUCGGAAUUACUGGGCGUAAAGCGUGCGCAGGCGGUUCGCAAAGUCAGAUGUGAAAUCCCCGGGCUUAACCUGGGAACUGCGUUUGAAACUACAAGGCUAGAGUGUGGUAGAGGGGGAUGGAAUUCCGCGUGUAGCAGUGAAAUGCGUAGAUAUGCGGAGGAACACCGAUGGCGAAGGCAAUCCCCUGGACCUGUACUGACGCUCAUGCACGAAAGCGUGGGGAGCAAACAGG